AUUGAACGCUGGCGGCAGGCUUAACACAUGCAAGUCGAACGAGUGGCGGACGGGUGAGUAAUGUCUGGGAAACUGCCUGAUGGAGGGGGAUAACUACUGGAAACGGUAGCUAAUACCGCAUACCAUCGGAUGUGCCCAGAUGGGAUUAGCUAGUAGGUGGGGUAAAGGCUCACCUAGGCGACGAUCCCUAGCUGGUCUGAGAGGAUGACCAGCCACACUGGAACUGAGACACGGUCCAGACUCCUACGGGAGGCAGCAGUGGGGAAUAUUGCGCAAUGGGCGAAAGCCUGACGCAGACAUGCCGCGUGUGUGAUGAAGGUCUUCGGAUUGUAAAGCACUUUAAGUUGGGAAGCGUUACCAACACAAUAAGCACCGGCUAACUACGUGCCAGCAGCCGCGGUAAUUC
rnacentral:rRNA from 1 species